AACGAACGCUGGCGGCAUGCCUAACACAUGCAAGUCGAACGAUACCUUCGGGCUUAUUGGCGCACGGGUGCGUAACGCGUGGGAAUCUGCCCUUGGCUUCGGUAUCACAGUUAGAAAUGACUGCUAAUACCGCAUGAUGUCCCCCUGAGAGAUCUUGGCGACCAAAGAUUUAUCGGCCAGGGAUGAGCCCGCGUAGGAUUAGGUAGUUGGUGGGGUAAAGGCAUACCAAGCCGACGAACCUUAGCUGGUCUGAGAGGAUGAUAAGCCACACUGGGACUGCGGCCCGGCCCAGACUGCUACGGGGCGCAGCAGUGGGGAAUAUUGGAGGAUGGGGCGAAACCUAGUCACGCAAUGCGGCGUGAGAGAUGCAGGCCUUAGGGUUGUAAAUCUCUUUUAGCAGGGACGAUAAUGACAGUACCUGGAGAAUAAGCUCCGGCUAACUCCGUG
rnacentral:rRNA from 1 species